AAAAUAUAAGAAUAUUUUUUUCAGUGCUCCUUCCUUCUAAUUGCCUUCUAAUCAUUCGGCCGCUCACUUAUACGCGCGCAAAACUUUUGGCAUUUUCCACUGUGUCUCAAAGUUCACUUUUUUUGAUAUUGCGACUCUCUUGUGCGGCUCUCUCAAAAAGUAUCUCGCGGAUGGCCGGAGUAUCUGAGAGAUCGCUGGCGAGCCGGGUGAAUUUUUAUUUAUUUUGUUUCAUUUUAAUUUACUCAUGCAAAAGUGUUGAUUUUCUGUUCAGCUCUGCCUGGCUAUUACGUCAAUGGAACAAAAACGCUGACGUUUGUAGUUGUACGAAUACGAGUAUCUCUAUCUGUAUCUGUAUCUUCGGCCGCGGCUGUAGAUGUAUCUGUAUCUUUGGCACUGCGGCAACUACAGUGUUCAUUUCAAUGUUUUUAGGUUCUGUUCUUCUCUUUCUCUCCCUCUCUGAUUUAUCUGCCAUUCGCGAGUGUAUUUUUCACUAUUUCGGUUGUAUUUUUUUUUUACGUUUUAUUUGUGUUUUUUUUUUUUUUUGCUUUUUCUGUUAAUAUUUCUAACAUGUAUUUUGCGGCGACGUCGACGGCGGCAGCGCUCACGUGAGUUGAUUUCAUAGCUAUGAAAACCUUUUUAAUGUGUGGAAAUUUUUGUUUGUUUGUUGUAGUUGUUAUUUUUCCCCCUAUUUCUUCGCUGUAAUUUGUAUAAAUAAACACAAAAUCGUAGAAAUGUGAAUGGCGAACAGAGAGUCCCGCGAAAAUCAAGAACAUUUUCGCAUUUAACGAUUUAUGGUGGAGCGGGGGCAAUUAGAACACCUUGAAAUUGGUCUUCAAAAUAGGGAGGGCAUGACGGUCAGCAUUCCCCCAGGUGGCAAAUUGUUCCAUAAAGAGCUCUAUGCUCUUCGAUUAAAACGGAGCAAAAAUAUUCUGCGCUGAUAAGAGCUCACACUCAAUUACUUGACGUAAACAAAAUAAUUAAAAUACGAAAAGUGCUCAUCGAUCCCAUUUAAAUAGUUUUUAUUGGAAUACUUGGGAAUUAAUUGAGCUGUGCGUUCCUUUGAGUAAUCCUUUAAUCAAUAUUUAAUAAGGAGUAUUAUUUAUUAAAAGGUGGAAAAUACGAAAAAGAAAUUGAUGCAUGAAACUUCAAUAUGACAUCCCUUUAACCUAAUUGUGUAAUUGUUAAUAUGCGAACGAGGUACUUCCAAAUACUUGAAUGGCUUUUAUUUUCGUUUUAACGAGUUUAUUCAGAUUGAACAUGGUUUACCAAUUAUUCGCAGAAACUUGAUAUUACUUACAUACUCAAAUAAUUUUUUUCCUUAAAUUUAUAUCAAAUAUAUUUCAAAAUCAAUAAAACCAUAAAUUUAACCUGUGGGAUAUUUAUUUGACGAAAAAUAAACUAUAUAGAAAUGACUUCUUGUUUGACCCUGAUCACGACAUUGUCUGACCUUUGCUCUGCCCCAUCAGGCAGUGACCUUUCUGGGUGCUCAUGAACCAAGUUAGUCCCGCUGGCAACCUUCAAGCAGAUCAAGAACUUAUCAUCUGCAAAGCCCCAUCGAAUCAGAAUAGUCUAACCAAAUUUGAAGGCAUCCUAAGCCAAGGGGAUUCGUACUAUUUUGGCCAUUUUGGCGGUGAUUCAGGGCCCAGAAAUGCCACAGACCAGAACAGAGGGAUAUAUACUGCGAGUACGAGUGGAGGAAGCCAGAAACUGAAUUUCUUCGAACGAUAGAACGAAAACAGCGAAACUGUCGCCUGUCAUCAUGUGACAUGAAGAAGAACUAGGAAGCGGUGGGCAGGAGAAAAUCCGAAAGCUAUAGAGAAAUAACUCAGCACACAUCGGUAUAUAAAUGGAUGGUUGGAUAGAUAGAUAGAUUCGUAGGCGGAAACGUCAUUCCCAUUCAGAGUCGUCCCAGAAACGUGUUCUGGCCUCAUAAAUUAUACCGAGGCUGAGUUGACCCCCUCUUAGCCACGCGGUCCAUCCACCCCCUUUUUCAUACCAAGUGCAACAAAAGAAAGGCUAGGCGAAAUUGUAUCCCAAAGUGUGGGUGAACGCAUUUUGGGAUCGAAAAAUAUAAAUGACUCUCUCCUUGGCUCGAAUAGUUCCAACAAUGUUGCCCAUCACGAGAUGUCAGCCUGUCAAGGAACCAACGACGGACACCUCUAUAUAUAUCGCUGCAUAUAUAGGUACACCCUAGCACAUACCUAUCUAUAUCCAUGUAUGUGGGAAAACUUAUUUGCUUUGGCAUUUUCUGAAAUGUCGCAGGCAGCGAAAAAUGGAUUUCGGAUUUCGGGGUUUCGAGUGGCACACCAUACCUUAUCGGUACACACUGCACAUAUCAACGUGCAAAUACGGCAACCAAAGAAUUUCUUAUACCAAACACACACAUGCUUUCCUUAUCAAACUAACCAUCGCUGAUCGGCCUUGGACAGGCACGACAAGAAGUCAAAGAGCAUGGACCUGUGAGAGAUCACUGCGGAAGAUCGUCUUCUGAAUCUGACGGGAGAGCAUUCUAAAAGAUCUAUUUGCUUCGCCAACACUCGGAUGGAGAUUACCCAUUAUCAGCUAGCUGCAUAUAAGUAGGUAUAUCUGUUUGUACAUAUAUACCCAGAGAUCUGAACUACAUUUUGCUCUAUUUGAAAUCUCGCACAUUUAUACGAAAUGAAAACGAACGAAACGAAAAACGGACGACGACGCAAACGACGACAAGUUGUACAAAUUAACGUACAAAUGAAUGACGGAAUUAGUACGUGUGCUCUUUGUUGAUCUAGCGAGAAGAUUAGGGGAAGCUAUAGGGGAUAUAUGGAUCGAGGUUCCUCCUCGGGUUGCCGGGGGACUUUCUUCUACUUGGGAGCUCGAACAUUUCUCUAGUCAAACGAAAAUGUCUCCUAAGCAGAGCAGAUUCCAAAGAUGAUUUGAAGAUAGCACAUGGCACACGGAUUCUGGAUUCACUCCGCGGCUGUGUGGCAAUUCAUUAGCAUCACGCAAAUGAAUUAAUAACACCAAACUACGAGAAUGUUUUUCAAGUUGUUCCUUUGUUAGCACUUUUUCAAUAGCACUGGAUUCGGAUUGGUAUGUAUGUGCAUUGGCUGUCGAUCUGUUUGCACACUUUGAUCUAUCUGCUUGAAUGGAUAGCUAGAUGCAUGGAUACACAGUCUGAUGAAUAGAAUUAAUUAUGAUGGAAUGGGGUUUAGCCCGCCAAUUGUUAUCCGCGGGUUAAGGGGAAGUCAAGAACAGCAGGUGGCGUACAAGUUUGUAUCGAGUAAAUUGUAUUACUAUUUGAUAAAGAGAUAUUUCCAUGUAUAGAAUAAAAGAUUAAAUGAAGAUGACA
rnacentral:sRNA from 1 species